rnacentral:lncRNA from 1 species
AUGCAUGGGUUUCGUUGUAACUUUUCAUAUGUCAAACACUUAAGAGUGGUGAUUUUUGAUACGUUUGGAAAAGUGGCUGAUGGCACGUCAUUGAAUGUUUUGUUUUGGCAGGUGGAUGAGCUAUGCUAGCUGAGGAAUGGGGCGCUGCAGAGGAUAUAAGUGGCUGAGCUUUGCUGUAGGGAAGUUACGCAACUGCAGAAGAGCCAACAACUAUCUGAAGAUGCAGUCACAGCAUUCUAUUCCCUGGGUCAUGCCAUGUUUUGUCUGGAUUGGAACUUUGGAAGUUGUUAUUUUUACGUUGCAAUUGUUCUGUACAUGUUAUUACUAGUUUAAGGGAAGGUUUCUGUGAAACAUCCAUUGCAUUGGUCUGAAUAAUCAUCGUUUGAAUGUUCUCACUAUGGUUGUAUAAUCAAAUCGUCCUGUAGCAUGCAUGUACCAACAAAUUGACUUCACUGUACUGUAUCUGGUGAUCAUGUUAUUACUCAUGCUCCUACUCUUUUAUGGUCAUCUUAUGCUACUCUGGAUGAGAGCUGUGUAUGUUAUGCCACAUAUGUCAAAUUUAUGCAU